AUUCGUCCUCCCUCGCCUCUCGCCUCGCUCACGGACGAACUCACGAACAGAAACCACGAAUCGAAAUCGCAAUCGGCCUUGACUCAAUGGGUUCUCGCUCUCUGCCUCUCUCGAGUCUCGACUAUCGACCGGCUCUCGGCCUCUCGCUCUCGCAUCUUGUGGCUUGUGAGCCUAGGUACGGGAAAAGAGGUAGAGGAAAGUAAUUUGCUGCAGAAACUAUCAGAAGCUUGCAUUGUUGAUUUCUCUUAAAUUGACUCUUCAACUGCACAAGAAAAAGCUAGACAAUUGUAAAUUACCGCACUUGGAUGUUUUCAAGUGGGCAUCAUUUGGACUUUUCGCCGUGGGCACCAAAAAUCUCAGGGCCGACCCUACAAACGCUUAUCUGAGCCUAGGGUGCGAGGAUCAGAGUCCAUAGCAUCUACGUGGUCGACUGCUGGCGAGAUUCUAACACCAACUCGGUCUGGACCAAUGGCUGCAGCUACUGCUUGAACCACCUGCAGUAAGAAUUUGGUGCGGUUCGCUAGUGUUCCACCGUAUUCAUCUGUUCUGUCGUUGAUGCCAUCUUUCAUGAAUUGAUCGAGUAGGUAACCUUGAGCUCCRUGUAUUUCAAUGCCAUCAAAACCUUUGUUCAAAGAAUAAUAGGCUAGUUAGAAAUCAGUUGAAACUGUUAUGAGUAGCCAUUUUUAGCUUACCUUUUUGGUUCAAAUUAUAAUAUUUUGUGCUUAAACUUUAGAACAUUGGUAGGCCUUGAGGAAAAUUCAAAUAACCCUAAAUAAUCAUGAAUAUUAUUCAUCACACAUUCUCAUCAUUCAUGAUAUCAAUGUAUCUUCAUCAUGAAUAAUGUUCAUUGUGAAUGUCUAUCACGAUAUUCAUCAUGAAUAAAACAAGUAUGGUUGGUU